UUCACAUUUGACCCAAGAAUUUAGACACUAUACUACCCCACCGCAUCCUUGUUAUAUAUAAGCAAGAUUUGUGCGUUCUCAAGAUUCUGAAGAAAAUGAAGUAAUGUCCUUAACAAUGGGUCAGAACUGACAUCUAGCCUCUUGAGAGAUGGCAGUCAGCAUUGAGCUUUUUCAUAAUUUCUCACUGCGGUAUAUGGUGGAUUUCUAGCUCUAGUCACUCAAGGUAUUUUAAUUUCUACUCAAGGACAGAACUUACCAUUCGAUUUGUGGGCAUUUAAUGGAUUAGGUGCUUCAUGGAGAGUCUUUCUUCGAAGCAUCCAUCUUUAACAGAGUCCAAGAAUCUUCAAAAUGCUUACCAGAACAUCAUGAAAUGAGCCCAAGCCUGGGACAACCUUUCCUAGAACUACCUUCCCUAUAUGGUGCUGGGGUAGCUUCUGCCCUGGGGAGACACUCUUGAGAAGUCUGGAAGGAGAAGUCGUUUUCCUCCUGAGAGCAAUGGGGAGUCUGCAGUUUCACACUGGCUUUCCAGUGAGUCCCGAGAACCACGUGCUUCAGACCUUCUGGCCCAGAUCUUGAUGGUGGAUUUGCUGACCUUAGC
rnacentral:lncRNA from 10 species